GGGGAUUUAGCUUAAUGGCAGAGUGCUUGCCUAGCAAGCGAAAGGCCCUGGGUUCGGUUCCCAGCUCCA
rnacentral:tRNA from 1 species